rnacentral:rRNA from 1 species
UAUUGUUUUAGACAUUAAAUAUUACGUGAUAUAGUAAUGGUAAAAUAUAUUUUUAGGGGUGAUAGGCUUUUCAAAUAUGUUGAUAACUUGAUACACAUUAAAAUUAUUAAGUAUUAAGUCAUAUUAUAAAAGUUAAGUUUUAUAGUAAUAAUUAAUUUAGAUAAAUGCAUAUAUUAUAGUUUAACAGCUAAUUAAUAAUAAUAUAACGAUUUCUUUCUUUUUUUUAUUUAAUGUAAUGUGUUAUUUUUACUUAAGUAAAUAUUGAUAAUGUUAAUAUAAGUAAUAUUUAUAAAUAAUUAAAAGGAACUCGGCAAAUACAUUUUUCAACUGUUUAUCAAAAACAUAACUAUAUGGUACUAUAUAUAGCUGUUCCUGCUCAAUGAUUUUAAAUAGCCGCAGUACCCUGACUGUGCAAAGGUAGCAUAAUCAGUUGGCUUUUAAUUGGAGUCUAGAAUGAAUGGAUUUUUGGAAAAUAACUUUCUGUUUUUUAUUUUUUGGAAAUUAGUUUGUAAGUGAAAAUACUUACAUAUAUAUAAAGGACGAGAAGACCCUAGAAAUUUAAAUAUAAUUUUGUUGGGGCGACAGAAUUACAAAAAACUAAUUUGUUUAACGUGACGUUUUCACAGAUCGACUAAAUUACUCUAGGGAUAACAGCAUAAUUUUACAUAGUUUGUGACCUCGAUGUUGGAUUAGGAUAUUAAACGGUUUAGAAGAUCUUUAUUGUGGCUCUGUUCGAGCU